rnacentral:rRNA from 1 species
AUGUACGCAAGUUUUGGAAGGGCUCGACGUACGGGCUACGUGCAUACUACAUGCUGUAUGGCCUCCAUACAUUACGGAGCAACCGAUUCAGGAGUGGCAGGGGCGCGAGGUGUCGCCUGCUCUUCGACAACCCUUCUAGCAGCCUGGUGCAAACCGCAGGUUGGUAUUACCGAUCCGCUCGUCGCCGAAUCCUUGUCACUACGAGAGGGAGUCCUAUUUGCAAGUCUCAGGGGCUACUCACAUGUGAUCAUGGAGACGGACUGCCUGAAGAUUGUGAAUCUCUGGAACGAUCGCCACAACACUCGCUCGAUUGUGGCUUCUAUUUUGGUAGAGAUUGGAGAGCUUACUAUGUCGUUUGAUUUUUUUACUAUUUAA